CAUACCACCCUGAACAUGCCUGAUCUCAUCUGAUCUCAGAAGCUAAGCAGGAUCAGGCCUGGCUAGUGCCCGGAUGGGAGAAAAGUUCUAUAACUUACCAAAAAUUGCUACUAUGUGGAAAAGCAAGGA
rnacentral:rRNA from 1 species